ACUGCUCAGUAACACGUAGUCAACAUGCCCAGGGGACGUGGAUAACCUCGGGAAACUGAGGAUAAACCGCGAUAGGUCAUAGUAUCUGGAAUGAUUUAUGGCUUAAAUCUAUAUGGCCUCUGGAUUGGACUGCGGCCGAUCAGGCUGUUGGUGAGGUAAUGGCCCACCAAACCUAAAACCGGUACGGGCUCUGGGAGGAGAAGCCCGGAGAUGGGCACUGAGACAAGGGCCCAGGCCCUAUGGGGCGCAGCAGGCGCGAAAACUCUGCAAUAAGCGAAAGCUUGACAGGGUUAUUCUGAGUGAUUUCCGCUAAGGAACUCUUUUGGCACCUCUAAAAAUGGUGCAGAAUAAGGGGUGGGCAAGCCUGGUGUCAGCCGCCGCGGUAAUACCAGCACCCCGAGUGGUCGGGACGAUUAUUGGGCCUAAAGCAUCCGUAGCCGGUUCUACAAGUCUUCCGUUAAAUCCACCUGCUCAACAGAUGGGCUGCGGAGGAUACUAUAGAGCUAGGAGGCGGGAGAGGCAAGCGGUACUCAGUGGGUAGGGGUAAAAUCCGUUGAUCCAUUGAAGACCACCAGUGGCGAAGGCGGCUUGCCAGAACGCACUCGACGGUGAGGGAUGAAAGCUGGGGGAGCAAACCGGAUUAGAUACCCGGGUAGUCCCAGCUGUAAACGAUGCAGACUCGGUGAUGAAUAGGCUUCGUGCCUAUUCAGUGCCGCAGGGAAGCCGUUAAGUCUGCCGCCUGGGGGAGUACGGUCGCAAGACUGAAACUUAAAGGAAUUGGCGGGGGAGCA
rnacentral:rRNA from 1 species